rnacentral:misc_RNA from 1 species
UUUCCGUAGGUGAACCUGCGGAAGGAUCAUUACUGUGAGCGCGCAAGCGCAGAAGCGGGGCGUCGCAAGACGCUCUGUUGGCCAGUGUUUUGUGAGCGGGGGGAAGUAGUGGCGGGAGUAUGCGUGUGAAUGCACACAUGCCCGCCAGUGUUUAACCACAAGUCAAUGAAGUAACGAGUGUGUAUUAACCAAAUACAACUGUUGGCAACGGAUCACUCGGCUCUC